rnacentral:rRNA from 1 species
GAUGAACGCUGGCGGCGUGCCUAAUACAUGCAAGUCGAACGAGGUGCUUUUGUAGCAAUACGAGAGUAUCCUAGUGGCGAACGGGUGAGUAACGCGUUGGUGACCUACCCCAAAGUGUGGGAUAACAGUCCGAAAGGAUUGCUAGUACCGCAUGUGGUCAUUGGAUUUAGAAACUGAUGACUAAAGGAGCAAUUCGCUUUGGGAGGGACCUGCGUCCCAUCAGCUAGUUGGUGAGGUAAUGGCUCACCAAGGCGACGACGGGUAGGGGACCUGAGAGGGUGACCCCCCACAAUGGAACUGAAACACGGUCCAUACACCUACGGGUGGCAGCAGUAGGGAAUGCUGCUCAAUGGGCGAAAGCCUGAAGCAGCAACGCCGCGUGUGUGAUGAAGGCCUUCGGGUCGUAAAGCACUUUUCUGGGAGAUGAGAAAGGACAGUAUCCCAGGAAUAAGUCUCGGCUAACUACGUGCCAGCCGCCGCUGUAAAAC